AGAGUAGGCUUGGAUUGUACCUGGGCUCAGCCACGUGUCCUUGCCCUCCUCAGCCUACCUCUCCUCCUCAGCGGCGGUGGCAGUGGUGCAGCAAGACUUUGCCACCAUUCCCAAAGCGAAGUUGCUGGUGAACCUUCAGAUGAAUGUGGCGGAGCCAGCAAGUGAGGAGGAAGAGGAAGAGGAAGAGGAAGAGGAGGCCAACAAUUCCCACCUGAGUGAAAAUGAUAUUCAUGUGAAUGGAAAUGGAGGUUAUCAAGACCAUGGGCUACAGAACUGAACGGAGCUGUGCAGACAGAGCCUCUAACAGGCACACUAGAAGGAGUUCUGGCAACUGCUGUUGUCAUGGAGAAAAACAUGACUGAAAUUGAUGAAGGUUUUUGAUGUCAUGGACUCUGCGUAAGGAUAUCUUGGAGCUGUGCGAAGAUCUGAGCAUUUUGGAGUCAAGAUGGAGUUCAAGAGCAAUAGACGGCUGUUGCAAUUCUAUUUUGUUCCAACUUGCGUACUACACAGUGUCCCGCAGUGCAGUUUUAAUGCUGCUGCUUUCUACAUCAAAGUGUGACUCUUUGACAUCACCUGUUCCACAGGUGUGCCAAAUGACAGCAGGUUUUAUUUACAAAAUUUGUAAGUGCUGUCUUACUGUUAAUGUAGCAGUCAUUAAAAAUAGUCAACAUUUAGGGGAUUUUUUUUAUUUGAACUCCACUUUUUGAUAUGCAUUGAACACAUUUUUAAAAAACAUUGCUGAAAUGCCAUCUAUUGCUGCGGCAUAAAAUGGAUUCCACAAUGUUCUCCCUGGCACUAAUGUCUAAUUGUUUAUUAGCACAAUUUUAAUAGUACAAAGCAAACCCCUCUACAUCUCUUAGAGGACACAUUGGGAGUCAAAAGUAAAAUAAAAAAACAACCAAAACAUUAAUCUGUCAUCAAAACCCAUUAGGAAGUACAGUUGUACCUCGGUUGUCAAAUGGAAUCUGUUCUGGAAGUCGGUUCGAUCCUGGAACCGUUCAAAAACAAUCAGAAGCCGUGUUGGACGUUCGGCUUCCAAAGAACGUUCGCCAACUGGAACACUCACUUCCAGGUUUGCAGCAUUUGGGAGCCAAAACGUUUGAGUCACAAGUUUUUCAGCAUCCAAGGCAUGACUGUAUCAAAAUUCAAGUCCACAAGGUUCAUAGCAGCCAGAAAGUUUUGUAUGCUGCUGGUAUAUGCAUUUGUAUUUCAUCUUUGCUUACAUAAACAGCAUUAAUCAGAUGUAGGUCAUUUGUUAAUUUUUCCAGCAAAGCAACUUGCCAAACCGUCUUGUACCAAUUAGCUAACACGGCACCAUUUAGAGGAUUGAGCAAUGUUCCGCCAUUCAGACUGGAAAACAACAGCAAACAGAAAUCCCCUGUUUAUUUUUCUUCCCUUUUCUUGAUUUUUA